rnacentral:rRNA from 1 species
CCUCUUUCAGCAGGGAAGAAGCGAAAGUGACGGUACCUGCAGAAGAAGCGCCGGCUAACUACGUGCCAGCAGCCGCGGUAAUACGUAGGGCGCAAGCGUUGUCCGGAAUUAUUGGGCGUAAAGAGCUCGUAGGCGGCUUGUCACGUCGGUUGUGAAAGCCCGGGGCUUAACCCCGGGUCUGCAGUCGAUACGGGCAGGCUAGAGUUCGGUAGGGGAGAUCGGAAUUCCUGGUGUAGCGGUGAAAUGCGCAGAUAUCAGGAGGAACACCGGUGGCGAAGGCGGAUCUCUGGGCCGAUACUGACGCUGAGGAGCGAAAGCGUGGGGAGCGAACAGGAUUAGAUACCCUGGUAGUCCACGCCGU